UCAUGCUUCAGUAUCUGUGAUGUUGCUGGAUGAUGAGUGAGCCCCGCAUUCAGCGGCCAUUCCCGGGGACCAGCAGGACCACACUACCUAGGGCUCUGGGUGUCAGCUGUUGGCAGAAGCUCCCCCGGGGUUGCCUGCUGCUUGGAGCUGGCCAGCAAGGAGCCCUCACCCUGCUCCCCAGAGAUCCAGCUGCUGUUUGCAGCUCAGUGAUUUGAGCAGGCCUCCCAAAGAAGCAGUUUUUGCAAACUCGGCCUCGACCCCUCCCUCUUCCAGGGAUUGCAACUCCUGGCUCUGGCCGGAGGUCUAGAUUGCAAGAUAAGGAAGGAGCUGGGCCAAUUUUCUGGUGGCUUCUUGGCACCGAGUUCUCAUGUUUUUGCAGCAGCCACAGGCCCUACCUACAUCCUUCCUGGAGACUCCAGGGUAGAACACAAGCAAACUCCCCUCUUCUCACUUCCCCAGCCCCUGGCAUGGGGGAGGCUGUCUUGAUUUGCUAUGCUCAGAGCCCCCCUUGCUGGGUGGGGGCUUCCAUAUGGCCCCCAUUAGUAAAGGAUGGUUUUUGAGGGGCUCCUGGAAAUGUGUUGCAGGUGGGCUCCCGGGCGCUUGGCUUUCCUACCAGCCUCCUCGGUUCUGUUUGCUUUGCCUAAUUGUGUUUUCUCUGCUGAUUUGCCUGAGUAAAGUUUUUCUUCCCCACUUUAUCCAAGGUCUCCAUGGUGCAUCUGGUACCCAUUUGGCUGGGGAGGGGGCAGAAGCAGGGUAGUUAAUUGAACGCUUGGCACAGGGCUGCAAGAAGCAAACUGAGAAGAGAAGCAGGUCCUGGGAGAGCUCGGGGAAUGCGGUUGGCGGGAGACUGUACCGGGUGCAGACUGCACAAAAUCCAUCUUCCCACUUGGUUUCCAUCCAGGAACAGAGCCAUGGGAAGGCCGAGAGAAGGACUUUGGGGUGACUCUGGCACUGGAUUGCAACCCCUGCUUCAGUGUAUGCCCCACAGGGGCCCAUCUUUCUUGCUCAGCAGGGUGCGGGGUGGAGGCAUGGCUUCUCAGCAGGUGGCCAGGGUGCCAGGAAGCCCUACCUGCAAGAUGGGGGAUGGGGGGAGCCAGGGACUGGAAAAGACACCUGGGUCUCUCUUCCUGCCUCCAUCUAGUCUGGAGUCGGGUCUCUCAUUCUGUGACAGGAAUUUUGGCACCAGACUGUGGUCUGCUUCUAGGAUGCGGAGUAGAAGUAAAAGUGAAGCAGCACCACUCAGAAUCCCCACUUCUGGUGGGGGCCCAGGGCCCACCCAGUUGGGAUGGGAGUGUUCUUUGUCUGUUCACCUGCCUGCCUGUCUGUACCUAGAGAGGCCAAAAACACCCUAGGCUCUAGAGUCACAGAGUUUGGAUUUCCAAUUGUGGUGCCUGUUCCAUGCAUGUCAUUCAGUGAAUGCCGAUUCAUUCUGGAGCCUCAAUUUCCUCAUCUAUAAAAUGGUACCAAAUUAUACUGUUCUGAACAGUAAUCGAAAUGAUUCAAAACACAUCAGCUCUGCACCUCUUAAAUGACUGUACACAUAUUGCUUCACUCAACCAACAACUUAGGAGGAGGGUAGUUUCUUCAUCACCGUCCAGCAUCCCCGUCUUAUGGAGGAGGAAACAGGCAGAGACAAGCCAAGUGACUUGUCCCCAGUCUCGCAGCCAGGCUGGGAGCUUGGCCCAGAGCCAGCACACCCAGGUGGGCCCAUGGCUGGUGGGAGGAGGCACAUGCCCAGCACCAGCCCUCUCUCUUGCUACCUCAGGCCUGCUGGAGCUGCUCAGGCCACCCCGAAGGACAGUGACAUGGGGCCAGCAGACAGAGUACAGGAAUGAGACAUGAGAGGAGGAGGCUGGAUCAGGAGGAUAUGCUAGGCGGGAAACCCGAGGGGUGGAGCAGGGGACAUGGGAACCGGGGUGGGCCAGCCCUGUUCCAGCUGCUCCCACCGAGGCCACAGCUCCUCCAUGCUGGAUGUUCUCAAAUCCACAGUUUAUUUGUGGCUCUCAGAAUUCUGACCACAGGUCAGCCCUGGUGGCCUGCUGCUGCAGGCCAACAUCUCCUGAUUUAGGACUUCUCCAUCCGAUUGCUCUUCCCCGGCUGCUGGGCACUUGCAAGUGGGACCAAUGUGCUUUUGAGACCUGGCUACCUUCCUUUGUCUUUUGCAAGAGAGGCCAGUAUCCCAUCUGGGUCCUGCCUGCACACCACCCUGCCCCCACCUGCACACUGUCAUUACUGUGUUGUGGCUGCUCCCAGUACAGACCAGGGUCUCCUCAUGGAAAGAGGUAGCCUGGAUGCUUGCUGGCCAUACCCCUGGACUUCACCCACCCCUCCAAGGAUGACCUACAUGGAUGUGACGGAUCACAAAGCUCUGGGAAGAGAGUGACCUGAAGGAGACAGCUACCACUUGGAGCAUCUCAGCUAUGGUCACAAGAUAUGUGGAUAUGGAUUUACUCUUGAAUGGACUUUUGCCAGAUGGAUUUUAUGGAAAACAAAAGGCAAGAAAAAUAAGAGAAUUCAUAAAGCAUCCAUUGUAAUGGUAAACCAUGGAAUGAAGCAGAACAAGGAGGCCCCUGACCCCUUGGCCUAUGAGGCCAUGGGAGUCCUGAAAAGCGAGGUCACCAGCUCUAAGAGGAAGGAAGCACCUCAUCAUUUUCCCAUGUGAAGCCUGCCACUUCUUCAUCUCCAAAUGGAUUUGGAAGAACUUCUAGUUUCAGCCUGGGAUGAAAGGUCUGAGGGAUACAAAGGUGUCCUCCAGGCUACGUAAUCUCAGGACAAAGCCGUGGGCGAUCUGGCUUUUUCAGAGUAGAAUGGAAGAGACACACCCACAGCCUCUUUGCCUGUGCCCUUCCCCAAGCUUCAAGUCCUGCUCUGGAAUCAAAACCAAGUCUUCUUCACCAGCACAUGCACGCACACACUGGGAGGCAGGGGUGACAAGUGCCAUGAGCCUGGGCCAGCCAAGCCAUCCUGGAGCCCAGCUGCUUCCGCGCCACCACAUGAGAAGGGUGCUUUGUUUUAAUUGUCACAUUUGUUGUUUGGAAGGAUGCUCUUCAACCACGGAAUUUUCUGGGUGACCUUUCUGUAAGAAUUGCAUGCAAAUGUCCCAGUGGAAGGUCAUGAUUGGUCUGGAAAGGUUAUCUUCAUUCGUCUAGACGGUUGUCUUCACAAAAGAAAAAAGUUCAGGUGUUGCUCUUUGAAAUACACGCUGGCAGAUGCAAUGUGUGUCAGGAAGCGGAGCCACAUCUCCUUCUGCUCGGCCUCACAAACGCUGGGCUCUGGGCUGUAUACAUUAGGAUGCUUCUUCCAGAAUCUCCUGGCUCCUCAGCAUCAUUCACUCUCACUAUUUGUGUAUUUCAUUUGAGAACGAGAGAGAGAGCAAGCGAGUGCACACUCAAGCAGGCGGAGGGGCAGAGGAAGAAGGAGAGAGAGAAUCCAAGCAGACUCUCCACUGACUGUGGAACCGGAUGCAGGGCUUGGUCUCAUGACCCUGAGAUCAUGACCUAAGCUGAAAUCAAGAGUUGGGUACUUAACUGACUGAACCACUCAGGCACCCCCAGUAAAUGUAUUUCUUAUACCCUGUUCUUGGCUUUCCCAUUUUUUUUUUUUGAAGAUUUUGUUUAUUUGACAGAGAGAGAGUGAGAGAGAGCACAAGCAGGAGGGAGAAGCAGGCUCCCCACUAUGCAGGGAGCCCCAUAUGGGGCUGGAUCCCAGGACCCCAAGAUCAUGACCUGAGCUGAAA